rnacentral:rRNA from 1 species
GUGAGGAAUAUUGGUCAAUGGACAAGAGUCUGAACCAGCCAAGUCGCGUGAAGGAAGACGGUUCUAUGAAUUGUAAACUUCUUUUGUGCAGGAAUAAAGUGGGUUACGUGUAACCUUUUGUAUGUACUGUACGAAUAAGGAUCGGCUAACUCCGUGCCAGCAGCCGCGGUAAUACGGAGGAUCCGAGCGUUAUCCGGAUUUAUUGGGUUUAAAGGGUGCGUAGGUGGAUUGAUAAGUCAGCGGUGAAAGUUUGCAGCUUAACUGUAAAAUUGCCGUUGAAACUGUCGGUCUUGAGUGCAAAUGAGGUAGGCGGAAUGUGUUGUGUAGCGGUGAAAUGCUUAGAUAUAACACAGAACUCCGAUUGCGAAGGCAGCUUACUGGGAUGCAACUGACACUGAUGCACGAAAGCGUGGGUAUCAAACAGGAUUAGAUACCCGAGUAGUCC